rnacentral:rRNA from 1 species
AUUGAACGCUGGCGGCAUGCCUAACACAUGCAAGUCGAGCGAGCGGCGGACGGGUGAGUAAUGUCUGGGAAACCGCCUGAUGGAGGGGGAUAACUACUGGAAACGGUAGCUAAUACCGCAUACCAUCAGAUGUGCCCAGAUGGGAUUAGCUAGGAGGUGGGGUAACGGCUCACCUAGGCGUCGAUCCCUAGCUGGUCUGAGAGGAUGACCAGCAACACUGGAACUGAGACACGGCCCAGACUCCUACGGGAGGCAGAAGUGGGGAAUAUUGCACAAUGGGCGAAAGCCUGAUGCAGCCAUGCCGCGUGUGUGAAGAAGGCCUUCGGGUUGUAAAGCACUUUCGGCGGGGAGGCGUUACCCGCAGAAUAAGCACCGGCUAACUCCGUGCCAGCAGCCGCGGUAAUUC